rnacentral:ncRNA from 14 species
ACUUUUCAGGACAAUGGUAUAUCAUACCGAUCGAGCGAGGCGCCUGGCGCCGGACUCCCCGCUUCUCCUCCCUGAGCGGGUGCCUGUCGUUUUUCGAUAAGGCUGUUUAGCCCGCCGGCAUUUGCGGCGGGUUUUUUUAUGUGCCGUCGAAACAGGCGA